rnacentral:rRNA from 1 species
GACGAACGCUGGCGGCGUGCUUAACACAUGCAAGUCGAACGGAACGGCCCUGCUUUUGUGGGGUGCUCGAGUGGCGAACGGGUGAGUAACACGUGAGUAACCUGCCCUUGACUUUGGGAUAACUUCAGGCAACUGGGGCUAAUACCGGAUAGGAGCUCCUGCUGCAUGGUGGGGGUUGGAAAGUUUCGGCGGUUGGGGAUGGACUCGCGGCUUAUCGGCUUGGUGGUGGGGUAGUGGAUUACCAAGGCUUUGAAGGGUAGCCGGCCUGAGAGGGUGACCGGCCACAUUGGGACUGAGAUGCGGCCCAGACUCCUACGGGAGGCAGCAGUGGAGAAUAGUGUACAAUGGGCUGAAGCCUGAUGCAGCAACGCCGCGUGCGGGAUGACGGCCUUGGGUUUGUAAACCGCUUUCGCCUGUGACGAAGCGUGAGUGACGGUAAUGGGUAAAGAAGCACCGGCUAACUACGUG